rnacentral:rRNA from 1 species
GAGUUUGAUCUUGGCUCAGGAUGAACGCUGGCGGCGUGCCUAACACAUGCAAGUCGAACGGAGUUGUUUGAGGAAAUCCUUCGGGAUGGAAUCUUCCAACUUAGUGGCGGACGGGUGAGUAACGCGUGAGCAAUCUGCCUUUCAGAGGGGGAUAACAGCCGGAAACGGCUGCUAAUACCGCAUAAUGCAUCGGAUUCGCAUGUUUCUGAUGCCAAAGAUUUUAUCGCUGAAAGAUGAGCUCGCGUCUGAUUAGCUAGUUGGCGGGUAACGGCCCACCAAGGCGACGAUCAGUAGCCGGACUGAGAGGGUGAACGGCCACAUUGGGACUGAGACACGGCCCAAACUCCUACGGGAGGCAGCAGUGGGGAAUAUUGCACAAUGGGGGAAACCCUGAUGCAGCGACGCCGCGUGAAGGAUGAAGUAUUUCGGUAUGUAAACUUCUAUCAGCAGGGAAGAAAAUGACGGUACCUGACUAAG